AAAAUGGAGAGUUUGAUCCUGGCUCAGGAUGAACGCUGGCGGUCUGCUUAACACAUGCAAGUCGAACGCAAUCCUUAGGGAUUGAGUGGCGGACGGGUGAGUAACGCGUGAGAAUCUGCCUUCAGGUUGGGGACAACCACUGGAAACGGUGGCUAAUACCCAAUGUGCCGCAACGUGAAAGAUUUAUCGCCUGAAGAAGAGCUCGCGUCUGAUUAGCUAGUUGGUGAGGUAAGAGCUCACCAAGGCGUCGAUCAGUAGCUGGUCUGAGAGGACGAUCAGCCACACUGGGACUGAGACACGGCCCAGACUCCUACGGGAGGCAGCAGUGGGGAAUUUUCCGCAAUGGGCGAAAGCCUGACGGAGCAAGACCGCGUGAGGGAGGAAGGCUCUUGGGUUGUAAACCUCUUUUAUCAGGGAAGAAGCUCUGACGGUACCUGAUGAAUAAGCAUCGGCUAACUCCGUGCCAGCAGCCGCGGUAAUACGGAGGAUGCAAGCGUUAUCCGGAAUUAUUGGGCGUAAAGCGUCCGCAGGUGGCUUUUCAAGUCUGCUGUCAAAGCCCGGAGCUCAACUCCGGCAAGGCGGUGGAAACUGAGAAGCUAGAGUGCAGUAGGGGUAGAGGGAAUUCCCGGUGUAGCGGUGAAAUGCGUAGAGUUCGGGAAGAACAUCGGUGGCGAAAGCGCUCUGCUGGACUGCAACUGACACUCACAGGACGAAAGCUAGGGGAGCGAAUGGGAUUAGAUACCCCAGUAGUCCUAGCUGUAAACGAUGGAUACUAGGUGUGGCUUGUAUCGACCCGAGCCGUGCCGAAGCUAACGCGUUAAGUAUCCCGCCUGGGGAGUACGCACGCAAGUGUGAAACUCAAAGGAAUUGACGGGGGCCCGCACAAGCGGUGGAGUAUGUGGUUUAAUUCGAUGCAACGCGAAGAACCUUACCAGGGCUUGACAUGUCCGGAACCUCAGUGAAAGCUGGGGGUGCCUUCGGGAGCCGGAACACAGGUGGUGCAUGGCUGUCGUCAGCUCGUGUCGUGAGAUGUUGGGUUAAGUCCCGCAACGAGCGCAACCCUCGUUUUUAGUUGCCAGCAUUAAGUUGGGCACUCUAGAGAGACUGCCGGUGACAAACCGGAGGAAGGUGGGGAUGACGUCAAGUCAGCAUGCCCCUUACGUCCUGGGCUACACACGUACUACAAUGCUUCGGACAAAGGGCAGCAAGCCAGCGAUGGCAAGCUAAUCCCAUAAACCGAGGCUCAGUUCAGAUUGCAGGCUGCAACUCGCCUGCAUGAAGGAGGAAUCGCUAGUAAUCGCCGGUCAGAAUACGGCGGUGAAUCCGUUCCCGGGCCUUGUACACACCGCCCGUCACACCAUGGGAGCUGGCCACGCCCGAAGUCGUUACCCUAACCUGCAAAGGAAGGGGACGCCGAAGGCAGGGUUGGUGACUGGGGUGAAGUCGUAACAAGGUAGCCGUACCGGAAGGUGUGGCUGGAUCACCUCCUUU
rnacentral:rRNA from 2 species